UCCAGACUCCUACGGGAGGCAGCAGUGGGGGAUAUUGCACAAUGGGGGGAACCCUGAUGCAGCGACGCCGCGUGGGUGAAGGAGUAUUUCAGUAUGUAAAGCCCUAUCGGCAGGGAAGAAGCAGGACGGUACCUGACUAAGAAGCCCCGGCUAACUACGUGCCAGCAGCCGCGGUAAUACGUAGGGGGCGAGCGUUAUCCGGGUUCACUGGGUGUAAAGGGAGCGUAGACGGCCAAGCAAGCCAGGGGUGAAAGCCCGGGGCCCAACCCCGGGACGGCCCUGGGAAGUGCUUGGCUGGAGUGCGGGAGGGGCAGGCGGAAUUCCUGGUGUAGCGGUGAAAUGCGUAGAUAUCAGGAGGAACACCGGCGGCGAAGGUGGCCUGCUGGACCGUAACUGACGUUGAGGCUCGAAAGCGUGGGGAGCAAACAGGAUUAGAUACCCCUGUA
rnacentral:rRNA from 1 species